ACGGAAGGCAGCAGUGGGGAAUCUUCCGCAAUGGGCGCAAGCCUGACGGAGCAACGCCGCGUGAGUGAAGAAGGUUUUCGGAUCGUAAAGCUCUGUUGUCAGGGACGAGAGGCCCCUUCAGGAAAUGGGAGGGAUAGGACGGUACCUGACGAGGAAGCCACGGCUAACUACGUGCCAGCAGCCGCGGUAAUACGUAGGUGGCGAGCGUUGUCCGGAAUUAUUGGGCGUAAAGGGAGCGCAGGUGGGAAGGUAAGUCAGUCUUAAAAGUUCGGGGCUCAACCCCGUGAUGGGAUUGAAACUAUUUUUCUUGAGUGCAGGAGAGGAAAGCGGAAUUCCUAGUGUAGCGGUGAAAUGCGUAGAUAUUAGGAGGAACACCAGUGGCGAAGGCGGCUUUCUGGACUGUAACUGACACUGAGGCUCGAAAGCGUGGGGAGCGAACAGGAUUAGAUACCCUGGUA
rnacentral:rRNA from 1 species